AUAUUGUCAAUGGGAUGUCAGUGAUCUGUACGUUUUUACUGCUGGUCUCAUUCUGUCCCGCGUCUCCUCAACGGCACUUGACAGCCUCAACAAUGUCUCGUGUAUUUGGCAACUCAUUCCUCAGAGUUACUGCAGGUUAUAUUUGACCUCUGCUGACGGCUGCAUCAUAUCCUCAGAUAACAGCUGCCUCUUCACUCAGACUCACACCAGCCAGAAUUAGAAAUGAGAGAACAGAGCAGGAGAGCCAUCUGGAGAGAGGAGGGGCUACAACAGUUUGCAUUCUGCAGUGUCCACCACUCUGACCUGUCUGUUAGCCUGUGGCAGGAGGUGAACUGUCCUAACUGUCUCUGUCCUAACUCAGAGUCCUGAACAUGAACAAAAACUGUCCUCAGGAUUUACAGGUUGAGACACAGUAUUUCAUCUGUGAAUGGGAGUUGUUUUUACAGCACAGCUGAUGUCUGAGCAGUUCAGUCCCGUAACUCGCUUGCUGGCAUCACCGGCCCGAUAAAGACAAACCAGUGAGGUGAGUCUCCUCUACUGAAGGUGGAAACUGACACCGGACACAUGCUGGGUGACUUUUCUAGUCCAGGGUAGGCAUCAUGUUUGUUAGUUGUGUCAAGAGCACACCAGUGCCAUUUAGUGCAGUACCCCAUGUACUUCUAUCAAUGGGUUUUGUUUUGUUUUAUUUUAUUCCAUUUAUUUGGUGAUUAAAAUUUGAAACUGUUGGGGCUCAACCAGCAAACAGCUAGAAUAGUCAACAAUGCUACUGUCAAAUUCCAACAAGCUAAAGUGAAUAAAUAAAU